AGAAAGUAAUAUUUAAUAACAAUUUUGUUGAACUAGAUAAAUAAGAGAAAAUGGUUUGCUUACCACAGAAGCCUGCUUCUACGUGUUUGAGAAUCAUAGCCUUUCUGCUGUCGCUAGGAGGUUUAGUCCUCUGUAUUGUAUCGUAUUUCUAUCCAGCUUGGACUAAGUUCAGACACAAUGGCGUUACUGGAUCCCUUGGGAUUCAUCAAAUGUGUGCCCGUGAAUCGGAUGGAGAAUGGGACUGUAGAGAUAUCAAAGGAAAAGACAUGCUUUUUUUCCUGUUCCAAGCCUCCUUCUCCAUAGGAAUAGUGGCCUAUACCAUAUUUGUGAUCAUAGUAUCGAUGACAUUUUGCUCCUGUUGUAUCAAAAGUUCCAGGGCUGUCGGAAUGACGAAGUUCUUUGUUGUGAUUGCUGACCUUAUUACAUUCAACUGUUUGAUGAUUGCCAUUGCAACAGGUCUGAAAUCAGAUUUCUUGGGAACAUUAAGAAUAAGUUAUGGUUGUAUCAUGUGCCUAACAGCAUUCGCCAUUGCAGUUGUUUUGUGUCCUUUCUAUCUAAUCGAUGCAAAAAAUACCGCGCGACGAUUUAAAGAAGAGAAAUACAAGAAGUUCUCUAAUAUCCAGGAACCCAUGGAUCCAGAAACUAUCACCAAAACAAACCAGUUGACUCCAGAUAUUUUAUCAGAAGAAAUGAAAAACAACACCAUUUCUCCUUCGUCAACUCAUAUGUGAAAUGAAAUAACGUUUUUUUCAUACUUGCGAAAUAUCAUCAGUCGAAAAAUUUUCCACAAGUGAUGUAUAAAUUAUAAUAUGACUUUUAUAGAAGAAGUUACAUUGGUUUAAUUAUUUGAAAUUAUCGUAACAGUGUACAGUUAUCUACUUGACUCCAUCUAAUUAUUUCUUUAUAUUCAUUGUAUUUUUGUAAAUAUUGUAUAUAGUACAUUGUACUGUUUUAUGUUAUAUAGUAUUACAAGACAAAUAAGAAAUUAUUGUAACAUUUUAAGAUUUCAAUCUUGUAUUUGGUUGGUCGCUAGAAAAUAUAGGGAGUUGCAAAUAUAUUAUAAACCUAAGAAAUUUGCAUAUGUUAAACCCCUCCACAUUUUUGCGCCUGUCCCAAGUCAGGAGCCUCUGGCCUUUGCUAGUCUAGUAUGUUUUUUAAUUUUAGUUCAUUUAUAUGUUUUGGAGUUUAGUGUGACGUCCAUUUUCACUGAGCUAGCACACAAUUUUAGUUAGGGGCCAGCUGAGGACCACCUCCGGGUGCGGGAUUUUCUCGCUGCAUUGAAGACCCAUUGGUGGCCUUCGGCUGUUGUCUGCUCUUUGGUCGGGUUGUUGUCUUUUUGACAUAUUCCCAAUUUCCAUUCUGAAUUUUAUAUGUGUAUGUUGAAACUACCAAAAUAAAUCUUAAGAUGUAAAAAUUGCUAUCCGGUUACACUGUCAACAUUCCAAUAGUGUCCACCAACGCUAUAGUAUAUGAUUUUUAUGCAUUUACUGUAUAGAUUGUUUGUAAUAUUUCAAAUUAAAGAAAAGGUAUGAAAGAAAGAGUCACGUUGUCUAAUAAAAAGGUAUCUUAUUUCACAAUUUCAGUGUUAUAGGUAAGAACUAUCCAGAAUAAAACCCAGUUCUUGUUUGAAUUUCUAAGUUAUUUUGCCUUUAACUUUUUAUAUUUAUCGACAUCUGUAAGGUUGCUACCCCUGUAACUAUAUGCGUGUGGCAUCAAGCUGAAUGUUUUCAAUUCUAUCUUAUAAAUAAACAUUAUGAGCUUUUA